GGGCUGACAAGAACCACUUCCCAAGACCCAGAAUGCCUGGAGAGGACACGGGGAAGGAAGGAGCAGCUGUGAGGGACAUUCAGUCUCCAUGCAGAGCCCAG
rnacentral:sRNA from 1 species